rnacentral:rRNA from 1 species
GACGCUGGCGGCGUGCCUAACACAUGCAAGUCGAACGGGGUAAAGACUUCGGUUUUUACUUAGUGGCGAACGGGUGAGUAACGCGUGAGAAACCUGCCUUUCAGUGGGGGACAACAGUUGGAAACGACUGCUAAUACCGCAUAAUGUUAUUUGGGGGCAUCCCUGAAUAACCAAAGAUUUAUUGCUGAAAGAUGGUCUCGCGUCUGAUUAGCUAGUUGGUGAGGUAACGGCUCACCAAGGCGACGAUCAGUAGCCGGUCUGAGAGGAUGAACGGCCACAUUGGGACUGAGAUACGGCCCAGACUCCUACGGGAGGCAGCAGUGGGGAAUAUUGGGCAAUGGGCGAAAGCCUGACCCAGCAACGCCGCGUGAAGGAAGAAGGCCUUCGGGUUGUAAACUUCUUUUACCAGGGACGAACAAAUGACGGUACCUGGAGAAAAAGCAACGGCUAACUACGUG